rnacentral:lncRNA from 1 species
GUCAAAGAGAUCUGCAGGAAAUGCCUUUAAGAAUCUGCAUUGUACCUUCCAUUUUAAUUUAUAUUCAUUACAGUUUUUAUCUGUGCACAAUUUAGCCUUGCAUUGUGAAUGUUAUUAGCUGCUGGCUUUAAUUGUCAGGAUUUGUACAAAAAUGUUGCUAUUUGACUAAUUAAAGUCUGGCCAAGUGCACAACAUCAGGCCUUGGGCUUUUCUGCUAAUUGCACUGAGCUUUCUACCUGUUAAUUUAUUGGGAUAAAUAUUAUCAAAAGGCUUUGCUAAUUAACAACUCUUCAUGAAUUGUGCCUAUCACCUGUCACCAUUCUCUCCGACUGCACGUUUCCAGAUCAGGAGGCUGAAGCGUUAUCCCCCGUACCAGCAUAUGGACCUGCCAAGCAGAGUGUCUGAAAUCAGAGAAAAAAAAUGAAGCUGAGAAUUUUGACUCCCUGGAAGCAGGGCAGAACUGAGUGUGGUUACAGCACCGGGCUGGUACUUGCUGGGAGCAUGUUCAGAUCUUGGCUCUCCAACCGUCUCCUUACGUGAUCUCAUAUAGAUCACCAGUUCUACACGAGAAAAAUGGAGCAGCAAGAAGACUUCCUUGAGUGAUGGGUUUGUUCAGGACAUCUCGGAGGAAUGGUGCUGGUGGUGGAGCUCAUUGGAAUCUGGUGCUGCGUUUAGCUGUUAUUACUGACAUCAGCAGAAAAUCUCUGGUUGUCCUCCAAGCUGCAAGUCCACCAGGUAAGAGAGCACAAGCAAUGGUGGUGGGUUUUUGCAGCCUCUUGAGUCUUGAGAAGCCCAUUAGUAUUCAGAAAGCCAAAUUUGGGAGGUACUGGCCCCAAGAGGUGAUACAAGGAGGUGGUGCUAUGCUUGAGACGCUUGUUGAGCAAUGAAUUUGAGGGACCCAGCUCUGUUCUUGGCUGCUGGGUUUGGUUUUUGGUGGUCAAAUAGCACUCAGAAGGGACUUGCCAAAACAGCGUGGGUUGUCAGAGCAGACUGGGAAAGAGAUUGAGAGGGAAGAAUUUCAAAUAGGACAGCCUGGGCGUCCAGGGAACACAGACUGAGGUGUAGGGAUGAGAAAUGGACACAGGAGCAGUGGGAAUGGGCAGAAAUAGAGAAAACUGAGAAGUCCAAGCAGAGAAAAGUGCAUGCCCAUAUAAACUUGCAUAGAUGCAAGUGUGGAUAAACAGAGAAAUACAAGCAUUUGUGACCAUCUCCUUAGCACAUUAUACCAUUGCUACAACCCUCAAAAACAUACUGCCUACCUCUCCUUAUUCUUCUGAAAAUUAUUGCUUCAUGACAAAGCUCCAGUCCCGCAAAAGCUCCUGAUACACAAUUCAUGUAAGUACAGGAUUCUGUGUUUUUUUUUCCCCUCGCAGAUCUUCCUGGAGUACUCCGGGGAGAUCCAUUUAUCAGGUGCAAAGCAAAGCUUUGUUUUUUCCCCUCUCCUCCUCGACAAAAAGCUGUCCCGAGGUGCCGGUGUUCGGAGCCGCGCUGCAGUCUGAGCGCGCGCAGGACCCCGUUGUACUGCCAUAUUCCUGUCAGCGUUUCCCAGGAGUGACAAACUGCUGCCGCCUUCAUCUCCGCACGUGUGUAACAUUAACAGCCUAUUUGUUGACCCUCGCAGCUUCUUUACAAGUGUCUCGGCGGAUUUGAAGCAAUGCACACGUUUUUUUCCGGGAGAAAUGAAAGAUGGGUGACUCAAUGGAGAAAUCCUCCCACUCCUUUGACUACCCUGUACAAAUAUUUCUAUAGCUGCUGGUGAAUUCACGUCUGCUAAUGAGCUGGGAGCAGCUUGCCAGGAUGGGAUCCUGAAAUCUUCAGCAAACCAGGGCUUCCCACGGGGCAGCGUGUCUGGGU